CUCGGACUGCGCGCAGCCUGAUCAGCAUGCCGCGUGUGUGAGAAGGUCUUCGGAUUGUAAAGCACUUUCGACGGGGACGAUGAUGACGGUACCCGUAGAAGAAGCCCCGGCUAACUUCGUGCCAGCAGCCGCGGUAAAUGUGCCAUGCCCCCCGCCAAUAUAAUAA
rnacentral:rRNA from 1 species